rnacentral:rRNA from 1 species
UGGGGAAUUUUGGACAAUGGGGGAAACCCUGAUCCAGCCAUCCCGCGUGUGCGAUGAAGGCCUUCGGGUUGUAAAGCACUUUUGGCAGGAAAGAAACGUCAUGGGUUAAUACCCCGUGAAACUGACGGUACCUGCAGAAUAAGCACCGGCUAACUACGUGCCAGCAGCCGCGGUAAUACGUAGGGUGCAAGCGUUAAUCGGAAUUACUGGGCGUAAAGCGUGCGCAGGCGGUUCGGAAAGAAAGAUGUGAAAUCCCAGAGCUCAACUUUGGAACUGCAUUUUUAACUACCGGGCUAGAGUGUGUCAGAGGGAGGUGGAAUUCCGCGUGUAGCAGUGAAAUGCGUAGAUAUGCGGAGGAACACCGAUGGCGAAGGCAGCCUCCUGGGAUAACACUGACGCUCAUGCACGAAAGGGUGGGGAGCAAACAGG